AUGCAGUACUACCUGCCCCUCUUCGGCUCCUUCGACAACUUCCUCCGGGCGCUCCAGCGCUCCUCCUGCCUACUCUCGUCGGACCUCGGCAAGGUGAUCAAGCCCAAUGUCGUGUUCCUGCGAGAGUGCUGCGGGUUAGGUGACUGCGAUAUUGUCAAUCCGUGUGUCGCUGUGUCGAGGAUGCUGGCCACCAACCCGGAGCACGUCCGUGCGAUGGUGGCAUGUGCUGACAGAUUAGGUGUGCCGCGUGGCUCUGGGAUGUUCAGGCAAGCGCUGCAGGCUGUCGCGUUUCUCAGUGAGGACAAGAUCGCCGCCAAAGUGGACUACUUGAAGAACACCUUCAGGUGGUCUGCUGCUGAGGUGGUCAUUGCUUUGUCUAAGGCUCCGAUGCUGCUCAGGAUUUCUAAGGACAUGCUACAGCGCAAGUCCGAGUUCCUGCUAUCUGAGGUGGGGUUGGAGCCCAUGUACAUUGCUCAUUGA
rnacentral:rRNA from 1 species